rnacentral:lncRNA from 1 species
GGUUUGUUGUGCUUGGCAAGUGGUGAGUUACACACAUGUUUUCAAUGAGGCCCUAAAAUGUCCAGACAGAGCAUGAUGGAAGUCGGAGCACUUAUCCUGAAACGAUUAGCCCUUUUGGGAUGUUAUAUGUGACCAAGAAAGCUUCGUGGGAAUGGAGAUAAGCAUAACAAGCAAAUAACGAUUUGGUUACAUUUCUUCUUCGCCUCACUCUGUGAAACAGAGAAAGAGAGAGAGAGAAGAUUCAGAAUAAGGUCUUUGAUACGAUUCUAGCCAUUCUUACAGUGGAAUUACAGCUCUCACUUUCCUCAGUAAUGUUUAUGAACUCCGAGGACAAUGGUCUUCACCGUGUUUCAGAUCUGAUAUCGUGGCUGUAACCUCGUAGGAAGCAUCCCAGAAAAGAACGUGACUCCCUAUUACUGUGUUGGGACAGGCUGUAUCAUUUAGCGCCUUAGUCACGGGUGAGUUUCCAUGUCACAGACGUGUCCAGUGAUGUCUUUGACUUCCGUGAGACUUUGACGAUUCACUUCCACAAGAAUCACGAUGCAUCAGCUGAAUUCCCAGGACUGUGCUUGGCCCCGAGAACAUAGAGCGGAAUGACACACUGCUUCUGUCCUCAAGCAGUUUAUAAUCCAGUGGUGAGAGACUGCCGAUGCGCUGUUUGUAAAAGCCUUGUUCUGAAUAAUUCCGACUUUGAGAAAGCCACUGAAGAAUCUUCUUAUAAAAAAGAAAACCGUGCCCUCAUUUAUAUUUUAUGAUUUGUUUUCCAAAAUUGUCAUCUUAAUUUGUUGGGUUGACUUGAUAAACUGCUAAAAUA